AAGACUAUAGACCUGCGGAGUACCUGCGGAAGGAUCAUUCAUAAUAAAAGUGAAUUUUUAUGGCACUUUUAAAACAAUCCAUAUCCACCUUGUGUGCAAUGUUUUUUUUUUAUAAUAAACUCAUUUUUUUUUAAAUAUGUUUUGUCUGAAAUAUCUUUUAUGAAUUACUUAAUUCUAAAAUAUAACUUUUAACAAUGGAUCUCU
rnacentral:misc_RNA from 1 species